rnacentral:lncRNA from 1 species
AAAAAAAAAUAUGUGGGUUUCCGGUUUCCCGACCCUACUUAGCUUUUGGACGUCGAAAUCCCGACCCUAAACUUUUUUAUUGGAUCAUGCUUGUAAGUGUUUCCACUUAGAGGAAAAACUUUGUGGAAAAUUGAAAUUUGAGGCAAUAUUAGGGAAAUUUAUCUUUGGAUGUGGAAGCACUGACUAAACAAAAUGGCGUCCGGUUGUUAGGAAAAUUAAAAAGAAGUUAAAACCGACCUGCCCUACCUAAGUUUUUAUAAGAAGAAACCGGAAGCCCACAUAUUUUUUUUUGGCCUCAUCAACCGAAAUACAACAUUUUAGAACUGAAACUACGUGGAGUGAUCAGAACUAGAGAAUACUUAUGAUUUAUAUGUGGUUUUACAGGUAUAAACUAUUAUAAACUGGCCGUUGAGAAAGAUUGUGACCCUAUUUUAACGACCAUUACGAUCAUAUGGAAACCAGGCUUAAGUACAACUUGUCAACAAUGCUGUAACAACAUUGUUGACAACUUGUUCUAAGGGUGCACGCACAACGUUUUUCAAGCCUGUCGAUAUCAACCGGGGACAGUUGUUCGCUUUUACGCGUGUACACACGCAGAAAUCUCACAUUGUGUAUAGCAAGUCUGUCAACAAGCCAUGAACAAGUUGUGUUCGCAUUGCUUGUCCCAAGUUGUCAACAAGUAUGGAACAACCUUGUUGGUACUAUCAGACUUGUUGUAAGGUUGUUCCAACAAGUCCGAUAUAGUCAUGAUAUAACAAUAUUGUUACAACUUUGUAUCGUCAACCUUGUAACAUUCUUGUUAUAUCAUGUCUGUAUCAGACUUGUUAGAACCUUGUAACAAGUCUGAUAAUGCCAUCAAGCUUGUUAUACCAGUUGUUGACAGCUUGUUCCAAACUUGUUACAACAACUUGUGAACAGAUUUGUAACAACUUGUUUCCAGUCCUGUAACAACUUGUGUGUUUUUACGUGUGAGAUAAGAUCUCGCAAAAUUCAAUAGCUACCACAGAAUUUGAAAUAUAUACUCUUAACAGUCGUCGAUACUUAGCCUAUCCAAUGCCAUGGUUCAGUCACGUGACGCUAAACCUGUAAAGCGAUUGGUUUAAAAAUGAAUAAUCAAAUAAAUUAUGUUGUCAAUACCAGCACGAAAUAAUUGGCACCCUCGUAGAUGAUUAAAUUGUGCCGACAUGGUGCAGUGAUAGAAUAUAGAAAUUUGGUAAUUGUAACGUAUGAAUGAUUCAUAAUAUUUAACUUUUAUGCUUUUGUUUUUUUGCUCUAGUUCUAGUUUUUGCGCCCCAUUAAAGUGCAUAUGACAUGAAAUUUCUUAUUUUCUUAAAUGAAAGAACUCUUUAAGCUGUAGUGUAACUUACUUUUCAGUUUCUUGUUUUUAUGUUUUUUUCCCGAGAUAUUUCAAUUUGUUUGGUAUGUAAAUGAGUGUGAAUAUGUCCGCUAAUUUAUGACGUCAUGUUGGUUGCAAGCUCUUCAAAAUGGUGGAAUAUCACUGCUAUUGUCCAAGAUGAUAAUAUCAAACUUCACUCACUGGUAAAUGUGAUGAAACACUGGAGAAAAACGUGAACUGAUAUCUACAGUUUGUAGAGUUAAUAGAUUUAUAACCAGUGUAAGUUGAGCUUGCAACCAACAAGACGUCAUAAAUUAGCGGACAUAUUCACACUCGUUUACAUAUCAAACAAAUUGAAAUAUCUCGAAAACAAACCAUGAAAACAAGAAAAUGAAAAAUAAGUUACACUACAGCUUAAAGAGUUCUUCCAUUUAAGAAAAUAAGAAAUUUCAUGUCAUAUGCACUUUAACUAAACGUUGUCUAAGCCGAGAAAAUCAAAACUAAAGUUUAUGUAAAUGAACGUGAUUUUUUAUCACAUAUAAAACUACCGACACGGCAGUGAUUUUCUUUGUCUUUUCCUCAUGAAUUAUUGAGUUUCUUAAAUAUAUUAUAUACAGGGUGUAUAAAAAAACUGAACCCUUUCAAAUUCAAAUUAGCUAUAACGUAUUGUAGUAAUUUGACAGCUCUAAUUGCUUUGAAUGGUUGGGUAAGAACACAAGGUCUUGUACUCAUG